rnacentral:tRNA from 1 species
UGGGGUGUCGUCAAGUGGUAAGACACAGCUCUUUGGAAGCUGCAUUCGUAGGUUCGAAUCCUACCACCCCAACCA